AAGUCGUAACAAGGUCUCCGUAGGUGAACCUGCGGAGGGAUCAUUACUGAGUGAGGGCCUUCGGGCUCGACCCCCAACCCUUUGUGAACACAACUUGUUGCUUCGGGGGCGACCCUGCCGUUUCGACGGCGAGCGCCCCCGGAGGCCUUCAAACACUGCAUCUUUGCGUCGGAGUUUAAGUAAAUUAAACAAAACUUUCAACAACGGAUCUCUUGGUUCUG
rnacentral:misc_RNA from 1 species